UAAGACAGAGGGUGCAAACGUUGUUCGGAAUUACUGGGCGUAAAGCGCGUGUAGGCGGCCCGAAAAGUUGGAUGUGAAAGCCCUGGGCUUAACCUAGGAAGUGCAUUCAAAACUGUCGGGCUUGAGUUCUGGAGAGGAAGGCGGAAUUCUCGGUGUAGAGGUGAAAUUCGUAGAUAUCGAGAGGAACACCGGUGGCGAAGGCGGCCUUCUGGACAGUGACUGACGCUGAGACGCGAAAGCGUGGGGAGCAAACAGGAUUAGAUACCCUGGUAGUCCACGCCGUAAACGAUGAGUGCUAGGUGUCGCGGGCUUUGACCCCUGCGGUGCCGCAGCUAACGCAUUAAGCACUCCGCCUGGGGAGUACGGCCGCAAGGCUA
rnacentral:rRNA from 1 species